rnacentral:rRNA from 1 species
AGAGUUUGAUCCUGGCUCAGAUUGAACGCUGGCGGCAUGCCUUACACAUGCAAGUCGAACGGUAACAGGUCUUCGGAUGCUGACGAGUGGCGAACGGGUGAGUAAUACAUCGGAACGUGCCCGAGAGUGGGGGAUAACGGAGCGAAAGCUUUGCUAAUACCGCAUACGAUCUACGGAUGAAAGCAGGGGACCGCAAGGCCUUGCGCUCAUGGAGCGGCCGAUGGCAGAUUAGGUAGUUGGUGGGAUAAAAGCUUACCAAGCCGACGAUCUGUAGCUGGUCUGAGAGGACGGCCAGCCACACUGGGACUGAGACACGGCCCAGACUCCUACGGGAGGCAGCAGUGGGGAAUUUUGGACAAUGGGCGCAAGCCUGAUCCAGCCAUGCCGCGUGCAGGAUGAAGGCCUUCGGGUUGUAAACUGCUUUUGUACGGAACGAAAAGACUCUGGAUAAUACCU